ensembl:lncRNA
AGGACACUGGCCCUUGAGGCCUGGAGUUCCCCACCCCAGAUGCAGAGCUUUGAUGAUAAUAACAGGAUUUUAAAGUGGCCUCUGAAUUUCACUGAAAGCAAAGGCGACUCCUUUCCUUUCCUGCCCGCCCUCCUGAUGAGGCACACCUGGCAACUCUUGGUUAACUAACUCACCUGUGGCUCAUGCUGUAAUUGACAGCUGCUUUGAAGGAUGAAACUUUCCCUCUGUUGUUGGCAGAUCAUUGUGUCAGCAAGUGACUGUUUCCAGAAGGGAC